UACGUAGGGGGCUAGCGUUGUCCGGCAUCAUUGGGCGUAAAGAGCGUGUAGGCGGCCCGGUAAGUCCGCUGUGAAAGUCGGGGGCUCAACCCUCGAAUGCCGGUGGAUACUGUCGGGCUAGAGUGCGGAAGAGGCGAGUGGAAUUCCUGGUGUAGCGGUGAAAUGCGCAGAUAUCAGGAGGAACACCAAUUGCGAAGGCAGCUCGCUGGGACGUAACUGACGCUGAGACGCGAAAGCGUGGGGAGCAAACAGG
rnacentral:rRNA from 1 species